AGGCGAGUAAAUUCAAACGGUUAUGUUCUAUGUGGCGUCCACUUUGACAUGGUGGGGGUCGUUGGUUCGAAUCCAAUCGUGCCUACCA
rnacentral:tRNA from 1 species